rnacentral:rRNA from 1 species
UACGGAGGGUGCAAGCGUUAUCCGGAUUCACUGGGUUUAAAGGGUGCGUAGGUGGGUUGGUAAGUCAGUGGUGAAAUCUCCGAGCUUAACUUGGAAACUGCCAUUGAUAUUAUCAAUCUUGAAUAUUGUGGAGGUCAGCGGAAUAUGUCAUGUAGCGGUGAAAUGCUUAGAGAUGACAUAGAACACCAAUUGCGAAGGCAGCUGGCUACACAUAUAUUGACACUGAGGCACGAAAGCGUGGGGAUCAAACAGG